CCCUUAGAUGUUCUGGGCCGCACGCGCGCUACACUGACGAAUGCAACGAGCUUAUAACCUUGGCCGAUAGGUCUGGGUAAUCUUUGAACGCUGUUCGUGAUUGGGAUAGACCUUUGCAAUUAUGGGUCUUCAACGAGGAAUUCCCAGUAAACGCAAGUCAUCAGCUUGCAUUGAUUACGUCCCUGCCCUUUGUACACACCGCCCGUCGCACCUACCGAUUGAAUGGUCCGGUGAAAUCUCGGGACGGCGGCUUGGUCGCUUGCGUCCGACUGCUGAAACUUGAUUAAACCAUAUCAUUUAGAGGAAGGUGAAGUCGUAACA
rnacentral:rRNA from 1 species